AUCUCUUGCUGGAGAUCCCUGCAGCUCUGAGGCCUUCCAAAGUCAAACUCAAAAGUCUUUGGGCUGACUUACAGCUUUUUAAGGCAAAACCCAAAUAAAUGCCAUCAAAGGGCACGUCGAGGGUGGAGAAAGAUCAGAAGGUCAGAGGCCCACUAUAAGCCAAGAAAAUGUGUCAAAAGCAAAUAUUUACAUUUCUGAUUGUUUCUUUCUGUCCAGAGUGCCCCAGUGUUUCAGCCAUGAGUGGCUGCGUGAACUGGGAACGAAUUGGGGUUAUUUGGGGUGAGCACAUUCUUGGUAUGGGGAAGGAUCCGGAUUAGAUGGAGCAGCCCCAGCUCCUCUCCACCCUGGCCAUCAUUCAGCUCCAUACCCUGAACUGCCCUCAUGCAUCUCUCUCUCCAUCUGAAAGCACUCAUCAUUUGGGAUCAGAAUGCCACCGACAUAGACACAGCCAGGGAUCACUUGGGAGCGGUCAGAAGCUGUCUCUGCCCUGCUGAAGGAUUUUCCAGCAGCCAUUCACCCCCUAUUUAUUGACCCAGCAAUGCUUGCAGCGCUCCGCAGGUCCCCGGGGUGGGGAUUUUACGGGAUCGUGCUGAUUCCCCAUUGCACAGCCUCUGUGUUUAAAUGCUUUUGAACCCACACAGAGCCAGAAACUGAGUGAGGUCCUGCCGGGCUAAAUGGAUUUCACUGCCGAAACAGAAAGGAAUGGGCUCCCAGGAAUAAGUGAUAUUAUUUACAUGGUAUCGAUCGGCGCUGAGCUUUUGCUGGCUCAGCACUUUUAACCCCUGGUUUUCAUCAGCCGAGUGCUUAACCCUCAGGUAAUUGGAUUUGCAGCUGUUAUUGUGAUCUAUGCUGCCUCCAAUUACUCUCCAUGGGGCACCCAUAGGACGGGGAGCCCAAAUAGGGAUCCUCGUAAGAGCAGGGAGAGCAAAGUAUCACGGCACGUGGGGUCAAGAGUGUUUGAGUAGACUGAGCACAGGUGGAUGAAGCCUUUUUCCAGGAAGCUUUGAGGAACUGAGGUUCAGUAUCUUGACCCCUUUGUGCAGGAUCGUGGCGGCAAUGCCCUUGUUCCCAUUCCCAUUGCAUCCAUUGAAGCCCUCAUGGCUGAGCUGCUCUCUCCCACCAAAAAGUUGUCCAUCCGAUGGAACAGUUCUUCCUUUGGGGUCCCAACAAAGGCUGACAACAAAAAAAAAAGCCAUAAAGCAGCUGAUGGGCAAGGAAUGAGGAGCUGUGAUUUUUCCUGUGUUGCCACAGGACUCUGUCUUCCUUGGGCUGACACCAAAGGACUCAUUGGCUGUCACAGAAUCAUAGAAUCACAAAGGUUGAAGAAGGCCACCAAGAUCAUUUCAUCCAACAUAGACACAGGCAGGUUUUGGCCCCCGAAGUGCAGAGACCCUCAGAAGCAAAAUCUUCCAUAGGUGUCUAUGGGGUAAAGUGGUGAACAAAGCCACGAGCAAUCUCUUGUGUCUUGUCUUCCAUCGCAGCCAAGAGAAAUGCAUUAUUGGUCUUGACACGGAGGUGCAGCAGAUGGAUAAUUGGGUGACAUUUGCUGCUCUGCGUCACGCGGGGUCAGAUGAGAUGGUCUUUUGUGACCUUUAAAUCCGUGAACUAACAAAAUUUGGCCUUCUUUGGGUGAUGCUGUUGGAAAGGGUGGGAAACAGAGGCUGCUGGGGUUGGAAAUGCAGUGCUGGGUGCUGGGCAUAGAGCUGCAGCAUCACAGGGCUCCCUGCAGACCCAGAUUCCUUUUCCAGUUACUAAUGGUGUUUCCCAUGCCCAGAUGCUGCGGUGUUUCCCAGCGCAAACCACCCAGCAAUUUGCUGAUGCUGUUAUCCAGUGUCUGCAGCCAAUUGUUUGGAAGACAGCUGGAGAGCCUGGAAUUG
ensembl:lncRNA